rnacentral:rRNA from 1 species
CGUACCUACGGGAGGCAGCAGUGGGGGAUAUUGCACAAUGGGGGGAACCCUGAUGCAGCGACGCCGCGUGGGCGAUGGAGUGCUUCGGCAUGUAAAGCCCUAUCAGCAGGGAAGAAAAUGACGGUACCUGACUAAGAAGCCCCGGCUAAAUACGUGCCAGCAGCCGCGGUAAUACGUAGGGGGCAAGCGUUAUCCGGAUUUACUGGGUGUAAAGGGAGCGUAGCCGGCAAUACAAGUCGGA